AGGUUAUUAGUUUAAUAAAAACAUUUGNGUUUCGACCCAAAAAUUUGUGGUUAAACCCCACAAUAAACUU
rnacentral:tRNA from 1 species